AUUAAGGCCACGCCCCUUUUCCGCAUUCUAGUGCAGCCCUGGUGACGCCUCCUGUGGCUCAGUCACAUAGCUGUGUGGUACAUGACUGGAGGCAUAUCACUGUCCUCGCCUGGAUCACGCCAAUGUGACCCCAACCCCACCUCCCUCCCCACCCCAUGAUGUCCGAAAAAACCCAACAAAGAAAAUUGGCUGGGACCAAGAGAAAGUUCACAGACUAUCAUCAGUGGAACAGUGCUGGUGUUGGUACUGGAGCAACCGACACCAAAAAGAAGAAAAUAAAUAAUGGCACUAACCCUCAGACAACCACUUCUGGGGGGUUGCCAUUCACCUGAGGAUAAACAACAGAACCGAGCUCAGCUGAAAGAGGAAAAGAAGGCAAGCCACCAACAUCAGCAAGCCCUAAGGAGGCAGCUAGAGGCCCAGGAUCAUACCAUACGAAUCCUUAAGUGUCAGAAAACUGAACUGGAAACAGUGCUCCAUGACAGCCAGGAUGCUGCCAGGAAAUUUGAAGAAGAUUCCAAGGAUCUGGCAGGCCGCCUGCAUCAUUCCUGGUACUUUGCAGGAGAGUUACAGCGGGCUCUCUCUGCUAUGUCCGCAGAGCACAAGAGGGUGGACAGGUACAUCGAGGAGUUAACAAAGGAGAGGGAAGCCCUGAGUCUGGAGCUGCACAGGAACAUGUAGGAUGGGGGAGCGGGGGAUGGGAGGUCUGAGAGCCCUUAGCAUGGGUGGUGUGCUGGGAGGUGGUGGGUACAGGUGAGCAUGCUAGGGGGUCAUACAGGUUUACAUGUGUGCGCAGGGAAGCUCCAGUGAUGGCUGUGCCACUGACUCAUGGGGUAGCCUCAGGCAACUCACGUCUUCUCUCUGGCCUGCCACCUGGGACUUUUAAUUCCUGGGGUCUCUUCCAAUGCCACGGUUCUGUGGUUGUGGGGCGAGGGUAGAGGGUCGAUCACCAAAGCGGUCCUUUCUGUUCUUUGCUCAUUCCUUUCUCUACUGCCUCUGGCCAUAGCAUAACCAAUGAGGAGCUGAAGGAGAAAAAUGCCGAACUACAAGAAAAACUUCGACUGGUAGAAACUGAAAAGUCUGAGAUCCAGCUCCACAUCAAGGAGCUAAAAAGGAAACUGGAGACGGACAAAAUCCCGCUGCCACAGGUUCAAACCAACACUUUGCAGGAGAAGAUGUGGAGGCAGCAGGAGGAGCUACGGGAUCAGGAGAAGCUACGGAAGCACGAGGAGAAGAUGUGGAGACAGGAGCAGAGGCUGCGGGACCAGGAGAAGGAGCUGCGGAAGCAGGAGGAGCAGAUGCGGAAGCAGGAGGAGCAAAUGGCGGAGCAGGAGGAACAGAUGCAGAAGCAGGAGGAGCAGGUGCGAAAGCAGGAGGAGCAGGUGCGGAAGCAGGAAGAGCAGAUGCGGAAGCAGGAGGAGCAGAUGCGGAAGCAGGAGGAGCACAUGCGGAAGCAGGAGGAGCAGAUGCGGAAGCAGGAGAAGCAGAUGGGGGAGCAGGAGGAGCAGAUGCGGAAACAGAAAGAGCAGAUGCGGAAGCGGGAGGAGCAGAUCACGCAGCUGCCCCCUGGAAUGAAGAACACCCAGGAGCACCCAGGCUUAGGCAGCACCUCCUGCAUCCUAUUCUUCUACCGAGGAGACAAGAAAAAGAUCAAGAUCAUCAAUAUCUAAAAAGAACGGUCAACAAGGCCUACAGAAGUGUAAGCCGCCACGUGACCUUGUGAAUACAGUCUGAGAACAAACUUGAAAAAAAGAAAAUUUAUUUUAAAUUGUGGCAAAAUACUGGCCGGGCAUGGCGGCCUGCACCUGUAAUCACACCACUUUGGGAGGCCUAGGCGGGUGGAUCACCAAUCCUAGGUACGUGGGAGGCUGAGGUUGCAGUGAGCUGAGAUCACACCACUGCACUCCAGUCUGGGUGACAGAGUGAAACUCCCAUUUCAAAAAAAAAAAAAAAAAAAUUUCUACCUGAGGACUCUAAUAUCUAUGUAUGUUUCUAUUGUUUUUUUUGUUUGUUUUCUCCUUUCGUCUUGUCUUGUCUUAUGGCAUGCCUAGUAAAGUUUUAUCUGCCUCC
rnacentral:lncRNA from 1 species